rnacentral:rRNA from 1 species
AUUAGACGAAUCAUCUGGAAAGAUGAAUCAAAGAAGGUAAUAAUCCUGUAGUCGAAAAUGUUGUCUCUCUUGAGUGGAUCCUGAGUACGACGGAGCACGUGAAAUUCCGUCGGAAUCUGGGAGGACCAUCUCCUAAGGCUAAAUACUCUCUAGUGACCGAUAGUGAACCAGUACCGUGAGGGAAAGGUGAAAAGCACCCCGGAAGGGGAGUGAAAUAGAACCUGAAACCGUGUGCUUACAAGUAGUCAGAGCCCGUUAAUGGGUGAUGGCGUGCCUUUUGUAGAAUGAACCGGCGAGUUACGAUUUGAUGCAAGGUUAAGCAGUAAAUGUGGAGCCGUAGCGAAAGCGAGUCUGAAUAGGGCGUUUAGUAUUUGGUCGUAGACCCGAAACCAGGUGAUCUACCCUUGGUCAGGUUGAAGUUCAGGUAACACUGAAUGGAGGACCGAACCGACUUACGUUGAAAAGUGAGCGGAUGAACUGAGGGUAGCGGAGAAAUUCCAAUCGAACCUGGAGAUAGCUGGUUCUCUCCGAAAUAGCUUUAGGGCUAGCCUCAAGUGAUGAUUAUUGGAGGUAGAGCACUGUUUGGACGAGGGGCCCCUCUCGGGUUACCGAAUUCAGACAAACUCCGAAUGCCAAUUAAUUUAACUUGGGAGUCAGAACAUGGGUGAUAAGGUCCGUGUUCGAAAGGGAAACAGCCCAGACCACCAGCUAAGGUCCCAAAAUAUAUGUUAAGUGGAAAAGGAUGUGGCGUUGCCCAGACAACUAGGAUGUUGGCUUAGAAGCAGCCAUCAUUUAAAGAGUGCGUAAUAGCUCACUAGUCGAGUGACACUGCGCCGAAAAUGUACCGGGGCUAAACAUAUUACCGAAGCUGUGGAUUGUCCUUUGGACAAUGGUAGGAGAGCGUUCUAAGGGCGUUGAAGCAUGAUCGUAAGGACAUGUGGAGCGCUUAGAAGUGAGAAUGCCGGUGUGAGUAGCGAAAGACGGGUGAGAAUCCCGUCCACCGAUUGACUAAGGUUUCCAGAGGAAGGCUCGUCCGCUCUGGGUUAGUCGGGUCCUAAGCUGAGGCCGACAGGCGUAGGCGAUGGAUAACAGGUUGAUAUUCCUGUACCACCUAUAAUCGUUUUAAUCGAUGGGGGGACGCAGUAGGAUAGGCGAAGCGUGCGAUUGGAUUGCACGUCUAAGCAGUAAGGCUGAGUAUUAGGCAAAUCCGGUACUCGUUAAGGCUGAGCUGUGAUGGGGAGAAGACAU